GGCGGCGGGAGUUUAGGCGACUUCCGAGGGGGCUGGGAGGUUCAGGUCGAGAUCGAGCCGUACGUUGCGGGAGCUACGCUCGAAGUCGACGACCGAGGACGUGGAGGAGUCGCUGUGGGCCGAGCCGGAUAUGGGAGCGGGGCGGUCGAACCUGCAAGUUUCGCGGGCGAGCUGGAGGGCGGCGGCGCCGUCGGCCCGUGCGAAGGCGUCGAAGAAGAACACGGGACGGGGCACGGGGAGCGGGCGGAAGCCGCUCGCAGCGGUGAAGUAGCCGCCGCCGGUGGAGAAACGGGGGUUUUUGAGAGUGAGGUCGAGUGGCGGCGGAGGCGGCGGCGAGGAGGACUCCACGGUGCUGCUCUGGCUGCUGGGACUGUUGCUGACGUUCGUCGCCGCCGCUGAUUUGGCGGCGUUGUUCAUGUUGACGAUGUUGACGGCGUCGAGCUGGAGCUCAGA
rnacentral:lncRNA from 1 species